rnacentral:rRNA from 1 species
UACGGGGGGGGGCAAGCGUUGUUCGGAAUUACUGGGCGUAAAGGGCCAGUAGGCGGCCAACUAAGUCCGACGUGAAAUCCCCAGGCUUAACCUGGGAACUGCGUCGGAUACUGGAUGGCUUGAAUUCGGGAGAGGGAUGCAGAAUUCCAGGUGUAGCGGUGAAAUGCGUAGAUAUCUGGAGGAAUACCAGCGGCGAAGGCGGCCUUCUGGACGGUGACUGACGCUGAGACGCGAAAGCGUGGGGAGCAAACAGGG